rnacentral:rRNA from 1 species
UACGUAUAUUCAAAGAAUUAAUCGGGUAACCCUAGUAAUUACUAGAGCUAAUACGUGCAAAAGCUCCGACCUCUUUUAACCGAGGGGAAAGAGUGUAUUUAUUAGGUAACUUAAACCAAUCAGCCCAAAAGGCUGUUUUGUUGAUGAUUCAUAAUAACUUUGCAAAUCGCGGGCCAAUGUCUGCGAUGAUACAAACGAGUUUCUGACCUAUCAACUUUAGAUGGCAGGAUAGGGGCUUGCCAUGGUGACAACGGGUGACGGGGAAUUAGGGUUCGAUUCCGGAGAGGGAGCCUGAGAAACGGCUACCACUUCCAAGGAAGGCAGCAGGCGCGCAAAUUACCCAAUACUGAUUCGGUGAGGUAGUGACAAGAAAUACCAAUAUAGGACCCAACGGGUACUAUGUUUGGAAUGAGUACAAUUUAAAAACCUUAACGAGGAACAAUUGGAGGGCAAGUCUGGUGCCAGCAGCCGCGGUAAUUCCAGCUCCAAUAGUGUAUAUUAAAGUUGCUGCGGUUAAAAAAGCUCGUAGUUGGAUUUCGGAGUUGUUAUCUGAACCUUCUCGCC